GGAGUUUCCAGAUAACAACUGUCUGGCUCUCCUGCCCAGGACUGCACUUCUAUAAGCUCCAGCUGCCUGAUCUUCCAGGGGUUCCUGUAGAAGUGAGAGCUAUGGAAAUGGAAGCUCCCGUGUCAAGAACAUGGACUGGUCUGUAAGGAUUAUUAUAAAAAACAGAUGUAUAAGGACUUUGAAAUUGAAUCAGAGAUAGAAACCUAAAAGUAACAGAGAAAGUCCCCACACAACACGCCCAUGAGUCCAUUAACAACCUGGAUGGCACAGAGGACAAACUCUAGAGCACCGAAGCCAAGGAGGAUGGAA